UUCAAACAAACACAUUGUAGAAAGUAUAACAGUUUUAAGAAAAUUGAACCUUUAUAUACUUUUAAGAUCCGCAAAAUGUAUUCUGACAAAGAUACUGGCUUCAGUGUCAUUUUUUUAUACCAUUUAAGUUCUUAAAAGGGAUUGUGAGUACUGUAUAUGUGAAAAAUUUCCUAGGAUCAGUUUGGAGGAGGUAUAAAUUCACUCCGUUCAUAUUAUCAAAUAUGUUUUAGUUCCGAUCGUUGAAGAUCGUUCAGGACGACAUAAUUGUUGUGAAUACAUGUUAUGUGAUAUUUUAAUUUUCUUCUGUUUGACCGUUUCAUCUUGGGUGAGUCCAGUAUUCCUACUGGAAUACUGUAUAAUCAUCCAUAGGAUAUAUAUUUUUCCUCCUUUUUAAAUUUGUCUUUUAACGUCUUGUCUGCGAUAUGCAGCUUUCAUCACUUCAGAUCCCCUUUUAAAAUGCCACUAUGUGCAGUUCCACCCAUUGUUUUCUCGUUUUAGGGUACACGUAUGUUUUAUUUUUAAUUGGGUACCAUACGCCGUCUGUCAUGCAAUGGCACUAAUCAGCUACAUUGAAGUUUCUAAGUAACCCACCCUACGAAAACAUUUGCGGAUGUUUGUAAAUUUAAAAUUUAACUAUUACCAUGAUUUAAAGCUAAAUUUUGCUCAGACACUUGCUAGGAGCGUGGAAGGUUACUUGCACUUUACAGUUUCGUCCAUGAACAGACUUAUUCAAACCAAGUCUGCAGCAUUCUCAAUUUUGACGGUUUGAGCGUAAUUUCGAAAUUCCGUUUUUUCUCUAUUUUACAUUUUUAGAAGCAGAAGCAUAUUUUGAAUUUGUGUUUUCUCGUUUAAAGACAUGCUGCUUUAACGAAGGCAAACUGAGAAUAGUCCUCAACAAUCAUAACAUAAUUUGGUAACAUAUUAUUUUAUUUCUCAUUCUCUAUCUUUACGAGUUCAAGGAUAUAACAUCAAAUUAAGAUGCAUUGUUUAUUGUCCUAUCCUAAGAUAUUUACGGAAUAUGCAUAAUUAUGUGACCAUUUUGUUUCCUUAUUGAAACACGCAGUUUAUAUUAAUGUUAAUGCUUUCAAAAAUAAUAAUUGUGCAUAUAAUUAACAUUAUCGUAUUGUUUGAUAGCUGUCAAGUCUGUUCAGUCGAAUUUAUAAGCAUUGGUACUUAAAGGACAUUGCCAUUUGGAUAACACCCUACCUGGCGGUCUAGUAAAAGGAUACAAGGAGAAAAUGAAGCCGAAUUUUGUGAAAAUUUGUUUCGUUAUUCUCUUGUUAUCAAGUUUUGCAUCUACUUUGGUUUCGUCGGCAAUUUGGCAAUGGAUUGAUCCAAAACAUCCGAAGGCCGUGGCAUCCAAAGAACGUAUUGCACAAGAGCUUGGUAGACGUCCUAUCAAGUGUAUAUUUGCCCUUGAAAGAGUUGACCCAGCAAUUUAUACAGAGGAAUUUCGAAUUAGAUUUGAAGCUGUUCGGAUUGUUAACCCAAGUAUAGUGG